AUAUAUAAACUUCUUCAAAUGAAAAUCAUACUCAACUUUUCAAAAAUAGCAUAAUAUUUUCAGCUUUUUCAUUAAUACACUUCAAAAACAUAUAAAUGAAUAGAGGGGAAUGUUAAAUAGAUCCAUGCUUUUAUUAAAUAAACCCACUCUUGAUGAAGAAUAUGAUAAUCAUGACAAAUGUGGUUGGUUUUUAUUGGUUGUAGAUUCACUGGGGAAAUGAAUCUAAAAAUCAUUAUUUUUUUUUCAUGAUAGUUAGAAUGUGUGGGUUAAUUUAGUAUAACACUUGGGUCUACUUAACAUUCCCCUAAAUAUAGGGUAAGAAAGAAAAAAGAAACUAUCAGAAUAUAUUCGUUUCACAGAAACUUUUAAACACAGUUAUUUCAUGUCCUUGCUCAGACAUUCACCCACAAAUGUCUGUAUGUGUGAGCAAAUGCAAUGAGAGCAGUGUCGGGUUUGCCAGACCCAGUAACUCCCCACGAUCAUGAGAUCAUACCCGUGUGAACGCCAACAGGACUGGCUUCGCAGGAUACGCGCUUCAGACCAGUCAAGUGGGCCUCAGGCCUAUGCCCAUGCCCUCAGUCACCGAGCACAAGGUUUGGAUGGUGCAUGAUUCACGACCAGCCAAUGAGGCGCGAAGUAAGGGGACGAAUGAAAUCCCGUAUGAGUGUCUGUCGGAGAUUUAUGGAUGAACAUUGUUGGAAUAACCAUGCCUCGUUCUUAUUACCGCUCUUCCGCUUUCUGAGGUCACUUGGAUUCGAGGGCACCUUGCUGCACAACACGCCAUCCAGUCACCUCUUUACUACUUUUACCUUGUUCCAUUUGGGUCUAUUGUGACAUUUUUAAGGAUUUAAAGCCAUAGUUCUGCUGCAUGUGGUGAGUCUUCGGCAGGCGACAGAAGCGACUGUAAGAGGUUGGAAGACUCUUUGGGUGUGUACGUGUUUCCAACUCUGGAAAUUCAACCGACUCAGUGAAGGGUCCAAAGUUUGGUACGGCACCACCACAUAUUGAUAUGGAACUGUGUACGAUCCCAUGGAAGUAAAAGUGUAAUUAACGAAGAUAACGCUGUCACGCAGAAGUUGGUGAUAAGUUCGGUGAUGUUUUUAAUAUAAGAGAGCGAUCGAUACCACUCACCCCAAAGUGUUGGAAAUGAACCCCUCAUUGCCGAGAUAAAAUGGUGUCGACUUUGUGACACUUCAAAGCCUUGCUUAAUUAGCCCCCCCCCCACCCCCCCCCCCGUAGCCACGUACGUAAACCUCCAGAGGUGUAUGUGAUCAUCCAGAGAGAACUUCGCUUGUUUGGGUAGGUUCUGACGGACACUUCCCAAGCAAAAUGUAACCACACAUUCACUGAAUCUUAAUACGUCCUCGUUUUGAUCAAAAGCUCUCUGGUUGUGAGCCAUUGAAAUUAUAAUGAAAUUGAUUCUUGGUCUGAAGAAGUCAACUGCAUAGGGACGUAGACGUAGACGUUGUGAUAGGCCCAACUCUGGAGCGUUUCACUAUUUCAUUCUUCGACGGCCCCACGACACACCAAACCUGCGCACGAGCAGAUACACGAUUCAAAUCGCAAUUCACAUCCUCAACAUGGAACAGUUACUAACCAACAUUCACCAACACAAACACUGAGGUGAUCAACUUCCACAACGAUUCCCUUCGAAUGAACAACUCCGAUCGCCAUUCAACACAAACCCCAAUUCAGGCCCCGUAAGCUAACCACUGCCAACACCACUUGCAAAUGAACUGAAAUGGGAAACGACGCCGAAGCAAUGGAAGUCCAUGAUAAUAUUCUAUUAUGAAACCAGAAAUACCGGACAAUGCGAACGACAGGACGGGACUUCAGCCAUAGUCCUACGCAUCGCAGCAUACGCAAACAGUUCGUCGGAGCUUCAAAAGAUUAAAAUCACACAAAUUACAAGUGAGGCAACAACUACACCAAAGAAGAAAAGAACCACUCUAACCAAGUAUAACCAAAAAACCUUCACUUCCACAAAUACAGAUAACUCAUAAAAAGACAAACUUCGGGCACCUCACCAUGCGCUAACCAUCACGAUGAACAUAAAGUACUCAGCUGGUACCCUACAAAAAAAAAAGGGAGUAACCCAUGUCACCUACACUUCACCAAACAUGUUAACGAAACACAUUUCCUUUGACAAAAAGUAAUCUCCAAACGCAUCAAAAGAAAGUACCCGAUCCGUCAUUCUUAAAAUAACUUAAACUUACAACAUCGACAGUACCCCAACCAACCACUGUAAAGGUCGGGAAAGACACACUCGCAUCCAUGCAUAUCGUGACCAAAACGACCGAAACGCCCAAACACACUACACCUAGCCCGGGCUGCAACUGCUCAAACUCAAAAGUCAAACAUUGACACGACCACUCAACAAUAUCAGACUGCUCAUACCCCCACAAUGUCAAGAUGUUCGAAACCCAAGCAAAAAACCAGAUAGAGCUAAACACACCCAUCAUCCACAUCCAAAACCAAUCCACCACAUUGAACUGCUCUCACGCCUACCAUGUCACGUUGUUCGAUGCCCGUACAAUAAACCAUACACAACACACACCACACAUCAUCGUUUCAUCCACACCCACCACCACCACAAUAAUUUGCAAAUCCCCUGUUCUCCCAUCAUCUCCACAUCGCACACCACACUCAGCGAGUACAGCUGUUGCAAGGGCUUCCGCACCCUGUUCACGAAGUGCACCGAACUCAAAGUAAUACUGCAACCUUCACGGCCAAACAGGUAAACAAAAUCACAGUCUGCUGCACAAUGCACACCCGCGUUCUACCUACUCUAACUGGACAACCAAAGAACCCUCUAGGUGGUGCCCGCGUCCAAGCGUUAUCCCUUCUACCCCAUUCUCUACCUUUCCUCCUCCCCCACCCUCCCACCGGGUGGAUCCUGUCCCUGCAUCUGUACUUCCAGGUUCCCCGCCCCUCGUCACACUCCAUUUCUCUACACAUCGCGGUUUCGUCCAAGGAGCACCCCAUCCUCCUACCACUACCCAGCCCCAAGCUCCAAGUCCAGACCAAACCACAACCACAUCCCACACGCCUCUAGAGGGAUACCCUCGCGGCUGCCAUCUUCUACCAUCCGUUCAACGCUCAUCCCAGGAACAAUCCCCCUCCGCCAUUUCACGUGAACUCGGUCUUGGCUCCGCCCUCCACCGCUGCGGCCCGCCGCCUAAGCAACUGCCUCUGGCGCAGCAGCACCAACUUCCACCUUCUCAGCCUUCGUCACUUCUUCGACCCCCUCAGUGGAGCCCUCUGCCAUGCCCACCACCGCAUCUUUCACCUUCUCACCACCCUCGCCGUUCGACGACUUCUCCGCAUCGCCAUUGCGCGCUGCUUCUUCCGCCGCCUUGGACUCCUCGCCGUCUUUCAUUGACGCCUCUGCAGGAACUUCCGCCGACUUCCCGCCGUUCGACUCUCCCGACUCCACCUUCACGUCCUCCGCUUUCUCGCUCGACCCUUCCGUCGUCGCUUCUACGGUUUUCUCCACGGCAGCGACCUCCUCUCCGGGAACGUCCACGUCCAUCGCUUUGGUCUCCUCCUUGUCCUUUCCGUUCUCCUCCACUUUCUCGUCUGCUGCACCAUGNNNNNNNNNNNNNNNNNNNNNNNNNNNNNNNNNNNNNNNNNNNNNNNNNNNNNNNNNNNNNNNNNNNNNNNNNNNNNNNNNNNNNNNNNNNNNNNNNNNNAGAUCAAGAUGCACGGUAUGCCGCUUUAGAGCGGAUAUUUCGAUCCUCGGACACGUUACCACCCUAGCCCGACUGUCCGACCACCCAGAAUCGUCACCGUCGAGGAGAACUCAUCAAUCACCACCAUCCAGACGUUGCCUCACAUCACACCCACGUGCUCAGUCUGCAAUCCACCAAUUGUGCAAAUACCACUGCAUCCACUCCGCUUGUCCAUGCUGCGUGACCACAGCGGGGUGAACUGGCGCCCAACCCCCUACGACGUCCACAAUGCUUCCCCAAUUUCCCCUCGCACCCACUACCACCUAGGAUCGCCACUACCACAACUAUCCCCGUGCCCUCGCCGUUCCCCUCGCUGCUGCAUUCAAUCUUUCUUCCCAAACCCAACCACGCCCACUCAUCACGCAACUCCCUGGGACGUCACAAACCUCUCCAAACCAGUUUCUGCACCCAUCAUCCCCAACACACAUACUCAACGUGCGCCCACAUUCCCAACGCAUACCUGCAACUCCCCAUUCGAAGUCCCCCGCAGACAGUGUCCCCGGAUGAGCUUUCAGAUACUUGUCCAGCUGCCUUUUGGUCUUGAUUUCCUCGCCGUCAGGGGCCACAAACGUCACGUCCUUCCUCUUUGGAGUGCCCCCUUUCUUUCCGGACCCCUGACGCCCACCCGCAUCAUCAACAACACCACGUCAGACCCUCCACAAUUGACCAACGCUAACCAAACACCCACCCCGCGGGCCCUUCAUCCACGUCCGAUUCCAACCCCUCGUCAACGCCUUCCGUCGACGCCUUCCGCCAGUGCAUUCGGCACCCAAGCACGCCCUUCAUCCUGCCCGGAACGCCUACAGCGUCCGCGUCUCUCGACAUCCGCGAUGUACACACACAAAACACCACACAAACUGCACGAUCGAUCCCACACCCGACGUUUUCGAAAGCGUAUGCCACCUCUAAAUCUAUCCCUCUACGACUUCCACCGCAGCGAAGCAGACCUCCCCCGUCACACUUGCGUCCAAGGCUUCGGGUGUGAGUGGUGGAAGGAUUUCAUCCCCAUCCCCCGCACGGUCACGGUCAUGCGUUUCCGCGGCCACGGGUGCCAUAACGCAUGCAUCUCGGCCCCACCAUCCUACCGUACGCCGGGACCCUCCGAGCCUGCACGUCACAAGGCUUCACGCAAAACAUGCGUGGGAUGUCGCCCCCACCCAUCACUGCUCGAACUCUGAGCGACCACGAAGUGGAUGCCUUCUCCGCACCAUCUCCCACCUCCGAACGCCGGCACGGCUCGGAGCGACGGCGUGGCCAGCACUGCACAGGAUGCCAUGCUUCGCGAUCUUCUCGAGCUCGGAGCAUUUCCCACACCACAUGCGACCAGGUCGCCCGUCUGGAGGACAUGCUCUCGAACCGUGCCUCCGUAAGAGCGGGUUGCUGGACAUCCAGCACCUCGCGUCGGAGUGCAUGUGCAGUGUGUCCAUGACGUCGGAUGGGAGCCCCGUUCGAGCGCCCCAGGCUUGCGACUGCUUAAGGCGCGUUACACCAACGAUAGCCGACACGCACCUUUCUAUCGUUGCGCACGGCCCUGCUAGCACAACGCCAGACCAGGAAAGCGACGGUCUUCGGAAGGCGACCGAGCCCGCGCAUGUCCGGUAAUCGACUUCGAAGCGUGUCAAGCGAGGGUUCAAGACGGACCUUGUGAGUCACAGUUACCGUCACGGAAGAGCAAGGCCGAGCACUCGGCUCCGCGACCCACGGAAACCUGACGACCAGGAAAACCCCGCCUGCUCACAAGAUAGACACGCACUGCCGUCGGCCAUAGUUCGGCAUCCAGGACAUGGGGGCGCGCCUUCUUGCAAGGAUCCGGUCAAACCGGCUCUCAGUCCCGUCGUUGUUGUGCGGAGGCGUUCCUCUCAAACUCAGGAGGACAAUAUCUCAGAUAAUGUUUGCACGACUGCACUUGCGAUCGCCGUCGCGGAUAAACUGCGCGGAUGUGCGAACGUAUUCACCAACACGAAGACCUGUGUGCUUGGCCGACGACCGUCCCAGGACCAGCACAGGAUAAGUUCCAGCGACACGCAUGGACACUUCUGCGCUCCCGAGCUGAAGCGCCUCCCCUCACCCAAACCCCCUCACCGGCACUGCACAGCUAUCGCAUGUCGUUUCACACAGCCUGCGCUGACGACAUGAAGGGACCGACAAAUUUCGUCAACUGAUGAGAGUGCGACAUACUACCGCCUCCCGGGGUACGGAACCAAAAAAAACAAGCUCGCGCAUCUCGCAAAGAACCAUCCAACCGGCUCUCAACCCCGAGCCUUAUGACGCACUCACACAUCCCGAGGGUCUCACACGAACUUCGGGCGACGUCGGUAGCAAAAACAAAGAGCACCAGCAUGGUGCACGGCCCGGUGGGAGCGCUACGAGGCAUUCGUCGCCCGAACUACGAUUCGCACCAUAUUCGUCGUCCUCGAUGUCAUGUCGUAACCGGUAACUAUUGGUUAAGACGGAAAUCUCGGGACAUCCGCAGCGGUGUCUGAUCGGCACACAUCCCAUCAAGAAACCUCAAGCUUCGAAAUUUGAGCGCCAAGGAAUGCAAGAAUCUGCCGAAUUGCAGCUUUUCUCGCUUUCACGGGCCAUGAAACACCGCCGCGAUAAUGCUGUCUCGUCACACGCUAGACCCGUCACAACCGACGCAGAAUAACGGCUCCGCUCUUUCAGCGGCAUCUUCUGGUAAACGUCAUACCAGAAGCUCUCGACACUGCACACCAUGCACCUCUCCCAACAGCCGCGCCACGAUUUAUGCGAGCUACGACCACACCGAGCGUCCAUGCAGUGAACUCGGGCUUCGAAACGGCAACGAACUUGCAGCUUCUUGAUGCCACUCUCGAGACCAGAAAAUUGACCGACCCCUCGCUCUCGUCACAAAUGAAUGCACCCUACCCUAGAGCAUCCGAUACACGUAACCAAGCGACAUCCCGGGCAUCCGCGUUUGGAACUAUCACCCGCGCUCCCUUCCACUCAGCGCGAACAGCCCGAUAGAACAUGACUCUCCCACAUGUGCAUCCCCAGCGACCGACGUGUUCCCCGACAUAAUCAACGGAUUUCACAACCAAGAUUCCCACACUCCCUCGCACCAACAACAGAGUUCAGGGUGGGUCUCGCUCCACAGACCUUGCGCUUCCAGCCUUGCAGAGGCCCGGUGAGCUCCUCGAAAGCACUCUCCGGCGUUCCAACGACCUCGGCCGCAGCGCAGUCGGCCUCCGGGCUGCCCAUUCCGCCUCACCUCGCCAACCACGCGAUCAACGACACACACACAGACACACACACACACACACACACACCCGGCGCACCAAACCUCCAGCCGCGUCCACCAGGACCUGCACAAAUUACCUCCGCGUCGAAAUUCCUCACGCUCUCCACAUUUGCCUGAGCGCCAAUCCCCGACGUGAAACAACGCACAGCUGGGGUCCAACCACAGCACACGAGCACCCGCCCCGGGUCUAACUACCACAACCACUGCCCUUCACGAGAAGAAAACAGAUAUAAAAAAAAAAAAGGUCCGCUGGAGCAAAGCCAAUGGCUGGGGCAGCAAACGAGAAUCAAAGAUCACCCACGAGAAUUGAGACCUUGUAUGAUUGCAUCAGGCAGCGAAGAGUAUAGAAGGAUGUCACAGAGAGAGAGAGAGAGAGAGUGAGAGAGUUGCAGGUGCUGGUGGUGCGAUGGUGGGAGGAGGGCGGGAGGGUAGUGGGAAGGGGAGAGUGUAAGACGGGAGCGGGGGUUCUGGUCUGAAGUGGUCGGUGUUGGUGUUAGUGGCGGUGUAGGUGCUGUGCUUUAGUUCGGAGGGAGGGAGGGGAGAGUCGGGAAAGGCGUUCUCACGGGAGACAUGGGCCCAUGACCGACUCGAGGUCCAGGUAGGUCCCUCCCUCCGCUUGCCUUCUCCAUCCCUCCCUCUCUCCUCCGGCAGCGUGCUUCGUUCCACCCUGGCUGGCUACCUUAGUCUUCUUCUUUUUCUUCCGUUUCUGUUUCUUUCUCGAUGCUUUGUGGUCUUUAGCACACCGAACGGAAUUAGGCGAAGAAGGUUGUAAAGUUGACCAUCCAUCAUCUCGCACCUGUGCACUUUUUCUCCUUCCCUCUUUCCUGCUUGAACCUGGCUCUGCUUCUUUCAAGCUCUCUCUUUUGUACUACUUCUAAAUAUAUAUAUAUAUAUAUAUAUAUGUUAUCCUUCAAGAAGAUGUGUUCUCUUUUUCUGUCAUUUCUUUCCUUCCUUUAUUUAUAUUUUGCUAGGGGAGGGGGGGGGGGAGUAAUGAUAUGAAAGUAUGUAGUAGAUUUCUUUUCUUGAAGAAUAUCGGCAGAGAUGCGUGUUUAACAACGUGUGUUGUUCACUUUAAUCUCAUAAUUUAUUUUGUGUGUUUUUAUUUUUGAAAAAAUGUAUAGUCUGAUUCUAUGUUUAAUGUAUUUGUCCAUUUGUAGUAAUUGCAUUGCACAGAAAUGGAAAGAUCUUGAAUUUUAAAACUGUUGUUUUAUUUUUUAUUUUCACUAUAUAUAAAUAUAUAUAUAUAUAUAUAUAUAUAAUCCUUGAAUUCAGUAGGAUUAAUAAAGUGCAAAUACACAUAUGAAUAAUUUGAGUAAAAACAUAUAAAAAUAUGAAAAUAGUACUCAUAUAUUUUAAUGUUUAUUUUUUGGUAUGUUUUUAAACACAUUUUUUAAGGAUUUUAUUUAUCUUUUGUAUAUUUUGAAUAUUUAAAAAACUAUUCAGAAUAUAGUAAUGUAUUCUUCAAUGAAUGUAAUGUUAAUUAUUACAUAAAAUUAUGGAUGAUUUGCAAUAUUUAUAUGUGUACACUCAUUAGAUGUAAAAAUAUAUAAAAGCCUUAUACAAUCUAUGCAAAAAAAAUAAAAAAUAAUAUAUGUAAAUAAUAGAUAAUUUUUUUGUUAUUUAUAUAAAUAUUUAUUUAUUUUAAAGCUUAUAAAAUUGCAAAUUUAAAUUAAAUUUAGUGUUACUCUAAUUGGAUGCUGAUACAAAUAAUGUAUUAUUAAAGUUAAAAUUUGGAUGCAAAGUUUUGAUAUAAAAACUAUAACUUAAACUUAGAGUGGUAAUGUAAAGGUGAAUAUAUUUUAUAAUUAUAUUUAGAAGAUAAGAAAGUUGUUUGAAAAAUAGUGAUUAUUUGAGUUUAUUUUAUGUAAAAUAUUUGUGCUCCUAUAUUUACCUUAGAUCUCUUAGAUAAAUUUUAUAUAAAUUAUUUAAAGUCAAGUUUUCCAACAAUUUAAAGUGAACAACUAUAAAAAAUUUAAUGAAUUAAAGAUUAAUAUUUUUUGGUUGAGAUGAAAUUUGAUAUUUUUUAUUAUAAAAUAAAUCUAAGUUAUUUAUUUGUUAUUAUUAUUAUUUUGGUUGCUUAUGUAAUUUUAAUAUUUUAAAAAAAUCAUAUUUAUUCUAAAUAAAAUUUUAAUAAUUUAAGUAUACAUGUAAUCAUUAGCACUAUUUUAAUUUUUUUGUAAAUUAUGUAUUAUUUCUUCUAAUUUAAGACUCUUUAUUUAUAAUACACCUCUUCAUCAUAUACCUACAUUUACUUGAAGCUAUGAUAUAAGCUAUCAAUAUUUUUUAAAAAGUAAUGUUUUAAAACAAAGUUUUAUUAAAAUAGUUGAUUUUGAAUUUUCUUAUGAAAGUUACUUCAGAAUUAUAAAUGAUAUUAUAAAAUUAUAUAAUAAUAAUUUAAAUUAGAUUUUAGUGUACUUAUAUUGAUUUUUUUAAAUCAAAUUAUUUGAAAUCAUAUAAAAAUCAAUAAUCUGUUUUUAUAACUACCAAUGCAUUAAUCAAGUACUCUUUUUUAUUUUUUUAUAGCUAUUACUAUAUUCCAUAAUUCUCUUUUGUGUUGUGCAUAUGCCUUCUAUCUAACAUUCAAAACCUUUAUUCUAAACCUUAUUAUAUAUCUAUUCCCUUAUUCAUCAUCUUGUCCAAUGCCUAAUUUAUUCUAAUUAGACAUAUAAAGAAAAAAUUAAAAAUUAUACAAUAGAUCUAUUAUAUGUGCAAAAUGAGAUAUCUAUAUAUGAUAGAAAAUACAUGCUCCUAAAAACCUUAUAACUUCUGUUGUAUUUGCACAUUCAUUCAUUUUUUUAAUAAUAUCAAUAUUUUCUAUACUUGGCUUAUGUCAAUAUAAUCCACACAUGUGUCCUACUACCAAAACUUUUUUAAUUCCAAAUAUUGAUUUUGCUUCCAAUAAGGUUAAAUAAAAUUCUUCUAACCUUCUCAAAAUCUUUUUACUAUCAUCAAUAUGAUCUAUUACAAACUUCCUACAUUCCUUUGAAUCAAAUGUCUUAUUUUUUCUUCCUUCUUCACAUCUCUUAAUUGGCACAUCAUCUAAGAAAGGCAUUGUUAUUCUUGAAAUAAAAUCCCUUAAUAUCUAAUAUAUUCCAUUCAUCAUGUGUGCCACAAAAUUUGUAGCCCCUUGUGAUAAUGUACACAUUCUCACCAACUCUAAUGGUGUCUUUAUAGUUGUCAAAUUUCUACUUUACAUUACCAAUUAAUAUUGAUCAUAUCUUGAAUAAAGAUCCUCCAUAGAAUAAAUUAUUCUCCUUAUAAAUGCCUCUACAAAUUCAUCUACAAUUAGACUUGAAUCCAUGUUUCUAAGAAUUAUUUUAUUUACUAGUAGGAUUCUUAUAUUGUUGUGAUUUCUCUUCCCUUCUAAUUCUUUUAGAUGGCCCUUCAUUAUUUUUUAUCUCUCUUUAAUUUUUUUUUAAUUAAUGCUCAAUAUUAACUCUUUGCAAUAUAAGCAUGAAUUGAUAAUCCAUCUAUUGGAUUAUUUCACCUAAUAAUUUAUCAAAUGUUAUUACCAAUUUAUUUUUAAUCAUCUCUAGUAAUUUAUUUAAUUUAAUUUUUUUACUAUAAUUCAUUGCAUUUCACGAAAAAAAACUAGAAAAAUCAAGAUUUAUGAUUAAAUAUUUGUUAAAAUUUUCUCUACCUAAUAUAUUGAUAUUUUAUUGCUUGAGAUUUAAAUACUUCUUUUGUAAGCACUUUUAUCCCUCUUUUACUAAAAUUUGUUUCUAAUUUUUUUUUCACUCUCUUUUAAUUGUAUCAUAUCAUCUUUGAAAAAAUAACUCUUUUGUAUAAUGUCUUUGUAAAAUCUUAACAUUCAUUUCUUAAAUGAUCUACACUAUUACAACACAUGUAUCUAUGCACUAUACCUUCCAUUUGUCUUGAUUUUUGUCUUAUUGAUGCUUUUGAUGUUUGACUCUUCUUCUCAAGUUUUAUAAAUUUUAUUUUCAAUUCUCUCAUUUUCUAUAUAAUUUUAUCAAUGUCCAUUUUUUUUUUCUUUAAUGAAAUUAUUGAAGAUUGAAUCAUAGAUUAAAAACAAUUAGUAGUUAUUUUUAUCUUAGAUAUUUGUAAUGGUCUUUGAAUAUCCACCCUACCUUUUUUCUUUUUUCUUUUUAGAAGCAAUCCAAUUGCUUCUUCUACUUCCCUCUAAUUUGUUGUCUAUCCUUCUUCUUCAUCAUCUUCAAGAUUUUUUUUAACUUCUCUUGCAACUUUGUAUCAGCUACUUGAAGAAAUAGUUCUAUUUUGCUUGAAUUUAGUGAUUGUCUUUUGUUCUUUGAUAAAUAAAAAUAUUAUAUUUUGAAUUCUUUUAAUAAUUUUGUUUCUUGAAGAUCCUUCUUAGGUCUUUUAAUCCAUUCAAAAAAAACUUCUUUGUAAUCUAAUGACUAUCUUUUAAGAAAAAUUUAUCCAUUAAUGAUUGAGAAAAUUUCUCCCAUGAACCUCUAAAAUGUCCUAUGAUGGACUUUAUAUGGUUUCUUAUUUCUGAAACAAAAGCUAAUUCAAAUAAAAUGAACCAUCUCUUUCUUGAAAACAUGCUUCAAUUCUAUAUUCUUUAACAUAACACCUUAAGUACCUUGUAAUAUCUUUUUCUUUGAAUCAAAAACUGCUUAUGAAGCCUUGUUUGCUAUAUCUUCUUUGAAAUCUUUAACUUAUUGUUGUUGCAUGAAUAGAAAAAAAGCCUCAAACAUGCUUGUAGAGUUGGGAUCAAAAUACAUAUAUUAUCCUCUAUUUAUAGCUCCACUUCUAAUUCCACUUGAAUCACCAAUUAAAGUACUAUCUAAAGCUUUUUUUUAUUUUAUUUUCUUAUAUUUCUUUUUUAUAAUUCAAAUAACUCAAAAAAACUCCAAACAUCUUCUACCUCAAGCUUUUUACAUCAAGUUUAUCAAAUUAUGUUGUAUUUUAUAAAGUUUUCUUGAAAAUACAUUGGGUACCUAGUUGUAAAAGAAAAAAAUAGAACUUACAACAAGAUGAUCCUAACAAUUCUAAUAUAAUCCUAAAUAAAUUCUAAUUAAUUUAUACCAAUGCUAAUCAAUCUUUGAUUAAAGUCCAAAAGAAGUCUCAAAAACUUACAAAAGAUAUAUAAAGAAAUUACAAAUUAAUAUUAAAGAAAUAUAUAUAAUAAAAAAAUUCUAAAAAAAUAUCAAAAAUAUAAACUUUAAUUAAAUUCUAACCAAAUUCUUUAUGUAACUUUCAACAAACUAUAAAAAAAAUUACAAACCAAUUCUAAUCAAAUCCUAAUUUAAAUUCUAAUGAAAAUCUAAAAAAAUCCAAAUCAAAUCUUAGAUUAAAUUCUAAUCAAAUCCUAAUCAAAUUUUAGACCAAUUUUUAAUUAAAUCUUAAUCAAAUCCUAAAAAAAUCUUAAUCACAUCCUAAUAAAAUUCUAACUUCUAAUCUUGGACCAAAUCCUAAUAUAAUCUUAAAUCCUAAACCAAAUCUAAUCAAAUCCUAAAUCCUAAAUUAAAUCCUAAUUAAAUCCUAAAUUUUAAAUAAAUUCUUAAAAAAUCCUAUUAUAAAUUAAAACCUCAAGAAUUAAUGAUUGAAUGGUUGAUAUCAACUCAAAAUAUACAAACUUUUCAACAAUUUAGUUAGAAAUAAAUACAAAAAAAAUAAGAUCAAUUGCACUUAUUAAUUGAGAGAAAUAUAAGAUAAUCCAUUUGGGUGUUGGGCGACCUUUAUCUUAAACUUUGUUGAUGAGCUCCUAGUGCCAAUAUUUCCUUCUUAAACUACUGAAUUCCUUUCAAAAUUAAAAAAAUAUUGGAAAUCAAGUCUAUUAUCUAUAAAAUGAUUUUUAUUUCAGUCUAACUUGUAGAUUGCACAAGAUCUAAGAUACUUUCGUUGAAUUUCAAACUCCAAUUUCUAAGACAUCAAUCCACUUAAACUUCAAUAACCUUCAACUUAAUAAUUUGAUUAAGCUCAAAUUUAUACAACAUAUUAAAUACAACUAUACUCAUAAACUUACAAAUUUCUACUUAUAGAUUUAUUAUAAAACUUAUAGAAUUUUUCAAAAUAUUAAUACUAUUUUAUUUCACAAAAUCCAUAGUCAUCCAAAAUAACCUUGACUUUAUAAAGCUUCCAUAUUACAAUUAAUAAAAUAAUCUCCAAAAAUAAUAAAAGUGUUUGAUUUUGUACAUUAGAAUCUAAUUUUGACCUUGAAUGACAACCAAUCUUUUUUGGGUAUCAAUUUUUAUUUUUUUGAGAUAAUUUUUAUUAAAAUCAAUUCUUAAUUCCUUCUUACAUAUGCUUAUAUUCUUUAUUUUUCUAAUCAACCUUGUUUUGCCUUAUUUAUAACUAUACGAAGUAAGUAGAAUCUAUUUUCAUGUAAGAUAGUUUUGGUAUAUUAAGAUUUUAUCAAUUUUCCAUCUUUUAUUUAUAUUUUUUAUUAUAUCUUUUUAAUUAGGCUCUUUUAAAAUAAAAUAUUUUCUUUCUUCUUUUAUUUAAUGGCUAUGUUACUAUAUAAUACUUAGAUAUUUAUCAUCUUAUUUAAUUCAAGAAAAGACAUAUGAAAUAUAAGAUGGACCUUCAUAAUCUCCAAUAGAUAUAAUCAAUAAGCAAACAAAAUUAAUUUGUUCAUAUUAUCGUAUAGUAACACAACUAUACGGUGAAAAAUAAAAACAUGGAUAUUGUUACAGUAGAGCCUAGUAAAAAGAUAUAAUAGAAAAACAAAGAUAAAUGAUAAGAAGCUAAUAAAAGAUUUAAUCUUAAUACUAUCUUUUAAAAAAGAAGCUUCUAUUUACUUUAUAAGAAUAUAAUUGCCUCAAAUCAAAAUAAAUGAAAUAAGUAAUUAAUAUAGAUAUAUUUAAAAAGAAUUUAUUAAUAGGUUCAAGAAAAAAUUAUCUCAAAUUAUCAAAUAUUGAUACUUAGAGAGGAUUAGUUGUCAAUCUGGGUCAAAAUCACACCUCGAGGUACAAAACCAUGGACCUACAAUACUUUUAAUAUUCUUUUGGAGAUUAAAGAGUGCAAUUUGAGAGAAGACUUGUAAAGAGAUUUUUAAACAUUGAUUUUAUAUCAAUCAAAAUAAUAUAAGGAUUUUGGAAGAUUUUCAAGAUUAGUGAUGUUUUUAAUUGGAUUAGAUUAUAAAAUAUAAAAUUAUAUUUACAAGAUUGAGGGACUCUUGAGUUUUAUGGUAAAUGAAUUUUGGACAGUGUAUUGGUAUUCUAAUAGUUAUUGUGUGUAAAUUUUGUGGUCAAUCAAAUAGUUAGAUCAAAGUAUCUAAAGGUUUUUAUUGGUUGAUGUCUCAAGAAAUGGAAUUUGAAGGUUAGUGAGUAUUUUUAAGAUCUUUAACAAUCUGCUAAUUGGAUUGAAGUGAAGUUUUUUGCAUAGAGACUAAAAUUAAUUUGUAAUAGUGAAGGUGUAUUUUGGAGGUAAUUUAGCAGUUCAAGAGGAAAUAUUGGCACUGAAAGUUCAAUAUUAAAAUUGGAGCAAGAAGUUAGUCAACACCUAAGAAAAAUUUAGAUUUGAUCUUCUAUUUGAUAAUUACAAUCUUCUUCAAAUUUUUUGUGGUUAUUGCCAACUUAAUUGUUGAAAAGUAUAUAAAAUCUUAAGCAAGAUCAAUAGUAUAAUUGAUAGAUAUUGAGGUUCUAAACUACUUAAAGAUUAGGUUAAUUUGAUUUGGAUUUGGUUUAGGAUUUAGGAAUUGAUUAGCAUUUAGGAUUUGUUUAGGAUUUAGGAUUCUUUAGAAUUUAGUUAAGUUUGACUUAGGAUUUAAAUAAAAACUAUUAGGAUUUUAAUUAAGGUUAAAUUAAGAUUCUAUUAGAAUUUAUUUAAAAUAUAUUUAAAAUUUUAUUUUUAUACUUCAUUUGAAUUUUUUAAAGAUUUCUUCAUGCUUCUUUUGUAAUUUUUUUGAGGUUUUUUUGGAUUUGAUUAAAGCUUGAUUAGCAUUUUUAAGGUUUAAUUGGAGUUAUUUAGGAUUUUAUUAGAAUUAAAUUUUUUUUUUGUAAUUUUUCUUUUACCUUCUAUAUCUAGGUGCUCAAUGCAUUCUCAAGUAUGGCAUUGUGUAAUAUAACAUAAGUGAUGAAUCUGACAUGAAAGCUUGAGAUAGGAGAUAUUGAAGUUUAAUUAUUUUUAUUUUUAUUUUUAUUUAAUUGACAAUGAGAACAAGUGUAUAAAAGGAGCUUCAAGUGAAGCUUCUAGUGGAGUUUCUUCUAAAGGAUAAGGUAUGUACAUGGAUCUAACCAUUGCAAGUAUGUUUCAAGCUUUUUCACUAUCUAUGCAACAACAAUAAAGCAAAAAUUACUAAGAAGCUUUGGCAACCAAAUCAUUAUAAGUAGUCGUCAAUAAAAUUGACCAAUUUGAUGGAAGGAAUAUUUCAAAGUACUUAAGGUGUUAUAUAUGAAAAAUGGAAUUAAAUUAAGUUUAUAAGAAGAAGAUGGUUGAACUAUUUGGACUUGCCACAAUAUUAGAAAUAAAAAAAAAUAUGUUGUAUCAAUUAUGAAGAAUUAUGAGAAUUUAUGGGAGAUAAUUUUACAUGCAUGAAAAGACAAAUAUUUCUUAGAAGACAUUGAUUGUGUUACUAAGAAAUUAUUUUUAGAAUGGAUUGACUGGCCUAGUAAGAAUUUACAAAUAACAGAGCUAUUGAAGGAGUUUGAAAGACAAUAUUUUCAAUUAUCAAAAGUGGAGAAGCUAACAUUAGAGCCAAAUAAGGUUGAAUUAUUUCUUCAAGCCGCUGAUGGAGAAUUAUAAGAAAAUUUGGAGUUUCUUCUUGAAGACAAAAAAAAAGAUGAAGGAUUGACAAGGAAGUGAAAAAAUGUUGAAGAUGCUAUAGGUUUGCUUACAAAAAGAAGGAUGAUGAAGUAUAGGAUUCAUAUUCUAAGAAUAGUACAAGCACUUAAAACUCAAGUGCAUACAAUAUGACCAACAAUGCCUAUUAUUCAAUCUCCAGCACCUACAUUCAAGAAAAAAGUUAUGGAAGUUGAAGAAAUUAUACAUGGUAUGUAGAAACUUCAAAUCAAGUUUGCAAGAUUUAAAGAAAAGACUUCUACAACCAAUUUGAAAGCUAUUUCUAAAAAAAGAUAUAUAUAAAGAUGUAUUUGGUAUAAUGAUAUUUUUUAUAUUAUGAAGGAUUGUAAUAAAUUUGAUAAUAUAGUGCAACAAAGAGUUAUUUUUGGAAAAGAUGGAAAGAUGACAUUCAAAGAUAGAAUAGACUUUUUUUAAAUCAAUUUUGGCAAGAGAGGUAUGAGAGCAUUGAUUCAUUUAUUUAUUAGCACAUGGAGUAGCAAUAUGAGAAAGUACAAGUUAUGGUGUUAGAGUAGAUGAUGACUUUGACAAAAGUGUAGAGAUAAGUAGAUUUUGGAAUUUGGCUACUUUUACAAUAUAAAAAAGAAAGAUGCCUUGAGAAGCAUUAUUAAAAACUAUAGCUAUAAUAUGAGGUGCAAUAUAUUGAGAAGAUCUUAUAGAAGUUCUUUUGAUUCACGCAUAUAUUGCUAAGAGCCAAUAUAAAGCAUUGAUGGAAGAAAAGAAAAGAAGAAAUUUUGAUAAUAUAAAAGAAGGAAAUUCUUCUAAGAGGUAGAUUUGAGGAGAGAAAGUUCAUGAGGCAACUUCACAAGAAUUACUUACAAAAGAUACUUCAAUAAUAUUGGAAGAAAAAAAAAAGGAAAUAAAAGAUAAAAGUAAAUCAAUAGCUUAUAAAUUACUCUUUGAUAUUGAAGCAAUAACAAAUUUGAAGAGGAUGUUGGAAGAAUGUGUAUUAAAUACAAAAGUAGAAUUCACAUUGAAAAAGAUUUUAAGAAUUGCAAAAAAAAAAUUUCAUGAUGUUAUUAUUGAUAAUAUUAAAAAUAAGAGACAAUUAAUAGAUGAAGCUAGAAUGAAUCAUACUAUUAAUACAAGAGUAUACAAAGAUGAAGAUGAUGUUGAUAAUUUUUAUAAAAAAUUAACAAAUGAAAAGACUGGAUAUAAUCAACAAGUAUGUUUUGAAGAUUAUAGUGAUAAAGAAAUGAAAGCCUCAAGCCAUUAUAUUUGAAAGCAUUGAGCAAAGAUAAUUAUAGAUGUAUUAGUGAAGAUAGAAGAUAUAGAAGAAGUAAUUUUUGCUUUAAUUAACGAUGAUUCUGAAAUAAAUCUUAUGUCUAAGGAUCUUUAUAAGAAGCAAAAAUAGCCAAUUGAUAUGGAGCAUGGAUAGAAAAUAUGAAAAACUAAUAAUACAUGAGCUGAAUUAUAUAGAGCUUGUCUAGAUAUUAAAAUAUGGAUUGGGGAUGUUACAAUAGAACAACAUUUCUUUGUUCAAGAUACAACAUUGUAUCCAAUGAUUUUAGGACAACCUUAUAUUACAAUAAUACAUAUGGAAAUAAAAGUUCUUGAUGAUAAUUCAGCUUAUGCAUGGAUAUGUACUAAAGAUGGAAAGAAAGCAGUAUAAUUUCUAACUAUACCUCUUAAUUAUGAACAAAAUUGAGAUAGAUUGAAAGAAAAGAAAUUGUGAAGAGUUGUUGGAGGAUUUAAGGAUUUUGUAGAAGUACCACUAUAAAACAAGAUUAUGGAGGUAUAAAAGAAGAGAUACUUUCAUUAGAUGUAGGUAUCUUUGAUACAAAUUUUAUUGGAAUUUUUGAAAAUAAAAAUAUUAUAUACAAACAACUUAAAGAUUAAAAAGAAAAGAAAAGAAAAAGAAUAUAUAAUAAUAAAAAGAAAUUAUGUAGAUGAAAGACAUUAAAAGAUGAUGAAAGGAUUUUAGAUGUUUAUAAAGAAAAUAGAUUGGAGGAUUCUUUGAAAUUAAUUACAUCUAUUGGAUUAAGAAAUGAUGAUAAGAUUGUGAAAAUUAAUUAAAAGGAGAUUUUUAAUAUACUUAAAUAUUUUGAUGCACCAAAAGUGAUUAUUGAGACAAAAUAUAAAUCAAUAGAUAAGAAAGUAAAACUUAUUGCCAGUCUUUUACUAAAAGAUUCUAUACAACAAAUAAAAAAAGCAUCAAAGGAAGAAAGUUUAAGAGAUCCAAAGAAUAUUGGACAUCAGUUUAUAAAAGAGACUUUUGAAGAAUUAAAGAUUGGAUGUGAUGGUUCUUUAUUACUAAAAAAAAUUAAAUAUUUUAAAAAAAUUCUUGUAAAAUAAGAUAAAUCAUUUGCCUUUGGACCUCAUGAAAUAAGAUGUGUGGAUCCUAAUAUUGUUAUUCCUAUGAUUAUCUUCAUGGUACCACAUGUGCCUUAGAAUUUAAGACCAACUUUCAUGCCAAGGACACAUUUACCUAAAUUGGUGGAAUUAUUGAAGGAAAAGAUGCAAAUGAAGAUUUUAAAGCCUUUUUUGUUCCAUCUUCUAAUCGUUGAUUUAAAAUACCUAAAAAAAAUGGAUAAUUUCAUUUUAUCAAAGAUAUGCAGUCAAUGAAUGUAGUAACUAUUAAAAAUUCAAGUAUAGGAUUUUUAGUAGAUGAGUUUGCAGAAGCAUUUAUGAGAAGGACGUUUUAUUCAAUGAAUGAUUUAUAUUUGGACUAUGAUCAAUUUUAACUUGCAUAUGGAAGAAGAGAUUUAACAACAAUGAGAAUAUUACUUGGACUACUUAAAAUGUCUACUCUUCCACAAGGUGCCACUAAUUCAAUUGUACAUAUGAUGAAUGGGAUGAACAAAGUAUUGAGAGACUUUAUUCUUGAAAAAACUAUGCCUUUUUUAGAUGAUGUUCUUAUCAAAGGAUGUAUUAAAAAAAAAAAAAAAAAAAAAGGGAAACUUUAGAUAAGAAAGGAUGUUGCAAGUAUGUUAUUGAUCAUGUACAAGAUUAUAAAAAGAUUUUAACUUAACUUAAAGAAGUUCAUCUUAUACUUUUGAAAGCAAAAUUUAAAUUUGGAGUAUAAAAAGUUGAUAUUGUUGGACAUUUGUGUAGAUUUUUUUAGAGGAAAGCAGAUCCAAGUAAAGUUGAUGCAAUUGGAAGGAUGAAAGAUACAUAAUUUUUUUUUAAUAGAAGUAUGUAGGUUUUUAGGAGCUUGCAUAUUUUAUCAUAUAUGAAUUCUUCAUUUUGUUUAUAUAGUAGAUCCAUUGUAUGAAUUAUUAUGCAAAAGUUUUUGAUUUAAAUGGAAAAGAAAGCAUAUUGAAGCAAUGCAAAAGCUAAAAGUGUUAUUAUUGAUACUUCCAAUUUUAAGAAGAAUUGAUUAUGAAUGUAAUAGGCAAGUAAUAGUUAUUGUAGAUACUAGUCCUAUUGCUAUUAGGUGGCUUGUAGAUCAAGAUGAUUUAAGUGGGAACAUGUUUGCAAUUUGAUUUAGAGCUAAAGUUUUAAGUAUUCAUUAACGUAUAUAUUUUCAAGUCAAAAGAAAACUAUGGAGAAUUGUUUCACUUAUGAAAGUUGAAAAAGUUUAUUUUAUUAGAGAAAUGGUAGUAAUUGAAACAAAUUGCUUGCUCUUGCUUGGAAUGAUUACUAAUUUUCAACAUUAGAUAUUUCAAUCUUAAGAUAGAUUCCUUAUAUCAAAUCAUUAAAUCUAAAAUUUAGACAUGUUGCUCAAAAAGACAAUUUGGUGGUGAAUAUAUUGUCUUGAGCAAGAUAUGAAAGAAAAGUUGAGAUGGUUGAAGACAUUGAUAAUGUUGGAUCAAGAUUUUAUUUAUUAUUAAAUCUUAAUAAGAAAGAUAAGUUAAUUUUUGAAGAGCUUUAUGAAGAAGAGUUAUUGGAUAUUGAUCAUUAUUUGAAUAUCUUGACUAAAGUAAAAAAUUGAUCUACAAAAAACUUUAAAUAAAUAAGAAAAAGGCAUGGAUUUUUUGCUUCAAGAAGGAUUUUUAUAGAAGAGACCAAAAAAAAAGAUUGAAAUGCCGCUGUCGUGAUGUAAUAUGACUAUAUAGUGAAAUUAUAAUCAAAAUUGAAAUUCUAAUUAUUAUCUAAUUAUAUUAGUUUAAUCAUAAUUUGAGGUAUGUAAACAUGGAUUUUAUAAAAGCCUCUUAGGUUAUUUUCUUAUCUUAAUAAUUAGUAGGUUGAAGGUUAGUUAGUAAUUUUACCUUCUGGGUUGUAGAGACUCUUCUACUAUCUUAGAAAGACCAUAAAUUGAUGAAAUCAAGUUAGAAGAGGUAAAUAAUUAGUAUAGUUGGUACUAGAGUUAAGUUAAAAAUAGGAUUGGGCUAAAAAUCCUUAGGAUAGGAUAGAUUGAUAUCUGGAGGUCGACCAUUUGUGAGACAGGGUCAAAAUCAGACCUUUGGCUACUAAAAUGACGAUCUAGGGCAAAAUAGGGUUUCAUUUGAAGAUCAAAGGUUAAUGUUUGAGAGCUAGCUUGAAGUUCUUUCCAAAGACAUAAGAAUUGUUUUGAGAGGGUUUUGGAGGAGUUAGCAAUUAUUAUUCAAAGUCAGGGUUUGUAUCAGUGAUUUGGAUUUUAUAUAAAAUAAUUAAGGCUAGCAAUUUUGGCUAGUUUGUGCAAUUGGCAUGACAUCUACAGUUGAAAAUUUAAUAUUAUUUGGAUUAUUAGGUGUGCCAAGUAUAUACAAAAUUUUGUGAUAAUCUAAUGGCGUGGUUUAGAGAUAUCUAGUUUUUAGCACAAGAGGAUUUCAAAAGGUGGCAGUUUGAGGUUGGGUAGGGUUUCUUUGAUAUUUGAAGAUCUACUAAUUGAAUUAAGGUAAAAAUUGGUAUGGUGUUGGAGGACUUAAAGAUCAAGCUACACACCAAUUUUGAGACAAAGUUAAUAGUUGAAGAAGGAGUAAUCAUUGUUGGGAUUUCUGCUUCACUUUUCAAGUUGGCGGCCGAGUGACAUUGAUGCAAUUUUUGGAGGUUUUCUCGUAACCUGUUAGUUCAAUUGAGCUAAAAAUUCUUAAGCAUUUAGAAGACUUUCAUUAACAAUUGCAUGCAAAAUUCCACAUCAAAUGGACAGUCGGAUUGGAUGUUACAACUUGUUAAAGCUCACUGAUUAGGAUUGGGGUUUACAAGAAAAAUCUAAAUUCCUUAAAUAUGAAAAUAACAAGGUAAUUGGGAUUUAUGUAUAGUUGAGACUACUAAGAAGAGUGUUUUAAGCACUUUUGAAUUGAAAUUCAAAUUAUAUUCCUCUUGCAUGGAUGAAACCUAUUAGGGUUUCUUGGCAACUUGUGAAACAUAAUCUCAUCUUCCACAGCUAAGUGCCCGGUGCAUUCUUGAGCAAAACAAUACGUAAUACAACACCGCAUUGAGUAAUAGGUAAUAAAAAAUAGCAACAAAAAUUAUUAAAGAGUUUUUAUGAUAGUUUAUGGAUAGGACAUAGGAGAAUUUAGGCUACUUUUGUUAAACUUAAAGAACAAUAUUAGUAGAAAAAUAUGUAUCAAUAUGUGCUUUUAUUUGUAGAAUUGUAUAAAACUUGUCAAACAUAUUCUAAUAUAUAAUACCAAGAUGGGUUCCAUCUUAUAUAUCUUUUGGUUAUUCAUUUUAAAUGAAUUGUUGAUUUAGUUAUUAUGUUAAUAGAAUUAUAGCAAAUAAGAUAUUUGGUCUUAGCUCGUGAAGAUUUAUCAAACCAAGUAGAAGAUAGAGCAUUAAGAAAAAAGUCUAUAGAUGGAAUUUGUAGAUUUUUGCUUGAAGAUAUUACUUGCUACUAUAGAUGAAUGAGAAAAAUCACUCUAGAUUGUAGAGAAUUAAAUGUAAAAGAAUCUUGUGAAUUCUUAGAAAGAUGUUAUAUUAAGUUAUCAUUGACUAUUGCUUAUAAUCCUAAAGGAAAUAAAAAAAAGUAAACUUAGUCAUCUAUUAAUUAUAAAAGCAUUAAUAAUUACUUGUAACAGAAAAGAUUAAAAAAUGGCCACAAUUUUUGCCAUUUGUAUUGUAAGGUGAUAGAAUAACUCAUAGUUCAAUGAUAAGAUAUGUGCCUAUUGAGCUCAUGAUAAGUCAAAAAUCUAUUAUGACAAUUAAAAAAAAGGUAUCUACAUGGAGUGUGUUGGCAUAGAAAUAUAAUUUAACAAGAGAUGAACUUUUAGUUAUUAGAAUUCAAAAACUUCAACAAAGAUUGGAAGAUAUGCAAAUAACAUUACUAAAAUAAAAAAAGGCAAUGUUACAAAAUAAGACUCAAAUUAAUAAGUAAUAUCAAUUGGAACCUAAAACAAUUGAAGAAGAUGAUUAGAUAUUGGUAUAUGAUAGUAGCUAAGACAAUCAAUAUAAUACUUAAUUUAUUUUUUUAAAAUGAUGGCUUAGACCAUAUGUAGUAAUAAUUUUACAUGAUAAUGUAACUUAUUUAUUAUAUGAACUAAAUGGAAUAAGAUUAAAAAUACUAGUUGCAUGGAAGCAAGUGAAGAUAUUGAAAGAAAGACAAAAUAGAAUAAAUAUAAAAAAUCUUAUUGAUGACAUAAAUCUUUGAAGACAAGAAGAUGAAUUUGACUUGGAUAGCAAAAAUGAUGAAGAUGAUAUAGAUGAAGGGUGGGAGAACAUAAAAUGAAUCAAAUUAGGUUUGGAUUAAUUGAUGCAUAGAUUUAGAAGAGGUAGAUGUUGUAUAUUAACAUGUCUAUAUAAGAAAGAAUGAAAACAUAGAUGUUGUUAUAGAAGAGCCUAGUAGAAAGAUUUAGUAGAAAAAUAAAGAUAAAUGAUAGGAAGAUAAUAAGAGAUUUAGUUUUAAUACUGCUUUUUAGAAUAAAGGCUUCUAUUUGCUUUGUAGGAACAUAAAUGCCUCAAAUCAAAGUAAAUGAAAUAAGUAAUUAAUAUAAACAUAUUUAGAAAAAAUUUAGCAAUAGAUUCAAGCAAAAAUUAUCUCAAAUUAUCAAAUAUUGGUACUCAAUGAGAACCAAUUAUCAACUUGGGUCAAAAUUAGAUUAUGCGGCACAAAAUUGUACACCUAUGACAACUUUGGUAUUUUUUUGGAGAUUAGAGAGUGUAAUAUGAGAGUAGACUUGUAAAGAGAUUAUUAAGCAUUGAUUCAUAUCAAUAAAAAUAAUGUAAGAUUUUUGAGAGAUUUUCAAAGUUAGUGAUGUUCUUGGUUGGAAUAGAUUUUAAAAAAUAAAAUUAUGUUUAUAAGAUUGAGGGUCUCUUGAAUUCUAAAGUGUCUAUAUGGAUGAAUUUUGGAUAGUAUAUUGGACUUCUAUAAUUAGUAUAUAAAAUUUUUAUAGUCAAUUAAAUAAUUAGAUUGAAGUGUCUAAAGGUUUUUAUAGGUUGAAGUUUUUGAAAAUCAAAUGAGAAGGUCAAUGAGUAUUUUUAAGAUCUUUAGCAAUUUUUUGAUUGGAUUGAAGUGAAUUUUUUUUGUAUUGAGACUAGAAUUAAUUUCUAACAAUUAAGAUAUAUUUUAGAGGAAAUUUAAUAAUUCAAAAAAGGGAUAUUGGUACUAGAAGUUCAACGUUCAAAUUAGAGUAAGAGGCUUGCCAAUACCCAAGCAGAAUUUAGAUUUGAACUUCUAUUUUAUAAGUGGAAUCUUCAUCAAAUUUUGUAUGCUUGUUGUCAACUUAGUUUUUGAGAGGUGUGUAAAAUCUUAAGCAAGAUCAUUAGUAUAAUCAAUAGAUAUUGAGGUUCUAAAUUAUUUUAAGAUUAGAUUGAUUUGAUUAAGACUUGAUUUAAGAUUUAAGAAUUUAUUAGCAUUUAGGAUGUAUUUAAGAUUUAAAAUUAUUUAGGAUUUAGUUAAGAUUUGAUUUAAGAUUUAAAUAAGGACUUCUAGGAUUUAAAUAGAAUCAAAUUAAGAUUUGGUUGGAAUUUAUUAAAGAUAUAUUAGGAUUUUAUUUUAAUACUUCCUUCAAAUUUCUUUGGGAUUUCUUCAUGCUUCUUUCAUAACUUCUUUGAAGUUUUUUUGGAUUUGAUUUAAGUUUGAUUAGCAUUGUUAAUAUUUAAUUGGAGUUAUUUAGGAUUCUAUUAGAAUUAGAAUCUUUUUGUUUUAAUUUUUCUUCUACCUUCCAUAGCCAAGUACUCGGUGCAUGCUCAAGCAAGCUUUCACAUAAUAGGACAAUGUAUCUUGCAAAGUCAAAACAUUUUGGUGGUCUCAUAGGACAUUUCCAUGUAACUCCUAAUUAAGAGUAUAAAUGGAGGCAAGAGUGAAACAUUCUUGUCAAUGCUUUUUUAGCCUUUAGUCUUAUUUGAAGACUUUCUAAACUUUUUGUCUUUGGCAAUAGCCAUUUUUGUUUUAUACUUUAUCAUCAUAUAUAUAUAUUUUUUUUAAUCUUUUUGGAUGACACAAGAGUGUAUUGAGGUUUUCUAUGUUUAAGAUUCAUAUCUUUGAUACAUUUAUAGUGCAACUGGUUUUAUUUUAUUUAGAAUUUUAAAAUAUAUCAUUUUGAUAUUUUUUUUGAAUGAUAAUUUCAUUUCUAUAAGAUUAAUUUUCAUAAUUAUAUGUGUUUGUUUACUUUGAAUAUCUAAUGUUCUUAAAAAAAAUAUAUUUGUUUUUUUAUUUCUAAUACUAUAUAAUAAUAAUAAAUAUUAAUAUAAUAAAUUAUUUGAAUUUUGGUCUUUUAGAAAAUUGAUGCUACUGAAAAAUAGUAGAUGCAUGCAUGUAGAUUUGCAAUAGUAAUCAAAUAAAUUAUUCAUAACUAGGACUUCAAUAAUUUAUCUAUAUUAUCUAAUGGCAUAUAAGAAUUAGACGGAAAAAGAGAUAGUAAUAAAUAUGAAGACUAUAAAGUAGAUUAAAGAUUAUGAAAUAAUAUCUUUUAAAAAACAUCUCUUAAAUUUGGUAAAACUAUAAGAUUAAUAAGAAGCAUCUCUCUCUCUCUUUCUCUCUCUCUCUCUCUCUCUCUCUCUCUCUAUAUAUAUAUAUAUAUAUAUAUAUAUAUAUAAUAUUAAAAAUACUAAUGAAUCAUAUCUUUAAUUACUUAAUUAUGUACCUAUAUAUUCAAAGAAUCCACAAUUGUUUGUAUUGGUAUUAAAUAAUAUAAUGGAUUUUGUCUAUAUUUGCUUAAAAUAUUUAAUUUUGGUUGCAACAUAAGUAGUGGAUUCUAAAAAAUUAUAGAAUCAAGUAGAUAUAAAAGUGUUGUUGAGCAAUAAUAUAAAAAUAUGUUAUAAACCUUUCAAUAUAAAAAAAAUAAAAAAAUAUAGUCAAAUAUAUCAAAAAAAUUAUCAUUUUAUAUGUAAAAUAUAAUAGAAAUAUAGUGCAUAUUCAAAAAAGAAACUUGAAAAGAAAAUUAGAUCUAUUUUUUAAUUUUUUAAAAAUUAAUCUUUAUAUUAAGAAAAAUUAUCCUAUGUUAUUAACCAAUUUAACAAAAAAAAAUUCAAAUAAAUAUUCUAUCUUUCAUAUUACAUAUUUUUUUGGAUUAGAAACUAAUAGAAUAAAUAUUUCUCCAACAAUCAUUUAAGAUUUUUUAAAAGUUCUAUUAAAAAUAUUUAUGCAUAUAAAAAUAUAAAUUAAUUGAAGGAAAGUUCAUAUAAAAUCUAAUACAUCCAAUAUACCAAAUAUGUAGUGACACCAAAAAUACAAGAAUAUAUAGAUAAAGUUAAUUUUUAGAUAAUUUUUUUCUGAAUGGAAGAUUGUUUUCUUACUAGAAGGGAGAAACUUGUUGAAGCAUUUCUUUUGUAUGUAUGUAUAUUACAAGUGUAAUGUUUUGUAUGUUUGAAGAAUUAAAUAAAUUAUAAUUUUUAUGAGCUCAUAUUUAUUUUAUAAACUAAUUUUUAAAUGCUAAAUUAUUUAUUUUAAUAGAUAAUAAAGUAAAUAAAAAUUUAUUUAAAAUAGAUAUUAAAUAAUUGUUGUACAAUACCAAAUCUAUAUAUUGUUAAUGCUAUUUCAUUAGGAUACAAAUUUUGCAUAGUACCUUUGCCAUUAUAGGUUGCAAAACUUUGUAUAAUAAAAUUAUUUUAUAUCUUUAUUUAGUAAUUUUAAAGAAAAUUAUUUUAUUUUUGAUAUUUUAGUAAAUAUAUAUUUAAUAAUAAAUAAUAAAUUUAAUAAAUCGACUUAACUAUGAUAAUAAUUAAAAAUAUUAUGAGAAAUUAGAAUUAGUAUAUAUGGUAAUUCUAAAUAAUUUUUACAAUAUGAAUUCCAUAAAAUUAAGUCUUUAUUUGAGUUUAAUGGUAUUCGCAUUAAAUGCUUAUAUUUUCUGUUUAAGGUUUUUGAACAAGUUUUGUACAUCACUCGUUUUACUUGAAGCUCAAUUAAGAAGUUUAGCUGCAAACUAAUUUAAAGUUAGGCAUGAUCAGAAUUCAGAUGUGCAUGUUGCUUCAAAUUUUGCUCAAAGAUUUAAUAAAAUUUAUGCAUCUAUAUUUGCACCAAUUUUAAUAUUAGAUCAUAGUUUAAAAAAGUGAACAACCUAUCUAUUGUCCUUUGCACUUGUUUAUUAUUUUAUUUUUGGAUUCAAAAUAUUCACUAUAGAAUCUGUACUUUAAUACAAGGCUUAAGUUUAUUGUGUUUAUUGUGACUUAAAAGACUGUUCAUGGCUAUUUUCUAAAACUAAAAAGUUCUUAUAAUCCCUCUUUGACAAACAUACAGAAAACACAAUACAUCUUAAAUUUUGAACUCCAAAAGCUCAAUUACUCCUCUAUUUUUGGUGACAUGAAAAUUCAAUUGUCUUUGCAAGAAAGCAAAAAGAAUAAAAAAAAAAGUAGAAAACAUCAGUAUAAUGCUUCACACAUGAUUUUUAUAUGCAAAUGUUAACAAAAUUGGAAUACAAUCUCUUUUUCACCAAUAGUCCAAAAGCAUACUAUAAAUUUAUUUUUAAGAGAAAGAAUAUGAUAUUACGUUAUUAUUGUUAUCUUAAGAGGUGGUAACAACCACAUGGAAAUAUUUGCAAUGAAAAUCAAAUUUGGAUCUAAGAAGAAGAAAUGAGAAUAAAAAUAAUAAUAAUAAUUAUUAUUAUUAUAAAUUCUAUAAUUUUAUCAGGGAUUAAUGUAUUUUAAUCUAAAAACCCUACCACAACAUUCAAAUUUGUUAAAUUAAAAAAAUAAAAUAAUCUAGAAUUUAAAAAAUAGUUUGUGUACAAAAUAUUGGUGAAAAAUCAUGAAAGUGGUAAUAUACAGGUUCAGAAGGCCACUUGAUCAUUAUUAGAUAAAUUUAUAGCCUAAGAAUGUAUAUUAAAGUUAUAAAUUGCAGAGCAGAAAUAAGAAUGAAAAAAUGUACUACCAGCAAUGUUUUUUGACUAAAAAUUUAAGAAAGCCAAUAUAGGCUACAUUAAUCUAAAUUAAUCUAACAUGUAUAAAAUCUAUGAUAUUUCUGAAUUAGAAAAAAAUAAAAAAUAAUAAUUAUACCACAAGAUCAUUAGAAAAACUAUUAAUAAAAAUUACUUCUAAAAAAUAUACAUUUCAAUUAUCUUUUGAUCAUAUAUAAGUAUUUAUGUUUUAUAAAUAGUAUACUUUGACUUAAAAUCAAGUAUUGUGGUCUUUAUAUGUGUCUCAGAAAUUAUGUGAAUUUCAUUCUUAUAGAAAAUAUGUAAAAUUUUAUAAAUUAAUUUGAUUAUGUAUAUAUAUAUAUAAGAAAUUUUUAUUGAUAAUAUUUUAAAUAAAAAAUCUUAAAUCAUCAAGCAACCAACUUCAUAUGGUUUAUGGAGAAAGAUAAAUUACAUAUAAGAUAGAUUACAUAUACCUUAAAUCAUAUACAAUAUGAUAUGUUGUCAUCAAACAAAUAAUUUCAACUAUCAACAAUUUUUCAAUAUACACUUAUAGAUCUCAACUUAUUACUGUAGAUGAUUUUUUUUAGGAUAGUAAAAUUUUUCUUUGUAGUAUAUUAUCUUUUUUAAUUUUUUUUAUAAUCUAUUAAAUGAAGAUAAUUUUAGAAGAUUUUUUUUUAGCAAUAGAUGAAUUUUUGGCCUACCACUAUUGCAUUACUUUGAUAUUUAAUAGAAUUUUUACAUAAUCAUUAGUAUUAUAAUAUUUUUAUAAAAAUUAAUUUCUUUUGAUAGAAUCCCUACUUAGACUUUAUCAUUAGUUUCUACUAAACUUUCUACUAUCUAUUUCUCUUGUCUUAGUUGUUUUUUUUUAUUAUUAUUUUUUUUUCAUAAUAGUUUUUUAAAAAAUAAAAGAUGUAUUCAUUAUUGUGUUAUGUAAAAUUUAGCCUAAAAUUAUACAAAAAAUUAGGAAGUAGAAGGAUUUUAAGAUGUCUUAAAAUACUUCUUACAAUAGAAAAUAAAUAAAUAUUUUUAUUUAAAAAUAGUCAUCUUAACAAAUUUAAUUUUUUUAAAAUCUUCAAAUUAAUAGAUUUUUACUUUUAUCAAAGUUGAAUCAUAUGCUUGCUACUACUAAUCUCAUUUUUUAAUGACCUUUUUUAGAUGAUUUUCAAGGAUAUUUACAUACCCAUUAAUCAUCUCUAAGAUAAUUGAGUAUAUUUUAAGCUUCGUAGAUAAGGACUCUACUAACACUCUUUAAAUCUCCUAUCAAUCUUAUUCUUAUAUGAUUUUAUUUAGAUAAUUUUUAAGACUAUUAACAUAAUCUUUACUUAUUUCUAAGACAAUUAAAUUUAUUUGAUACUAAUGGAUAUUUGCUUUAUUAAUAUUCUUUUAUGCCAUUAUUGACUUUGAAAAAAUAUCAAAUAAUAUUCAAAAAUAUUUUAAAAUAUUCUAAAAGGUCUUUAUUGAAAUCUAAACUAAAUUUCACAUCUUUCAAAAAUUUAUUAAUUAUUUCUAAAGAAUAUUUUCUAAAUCCUAGAAAAUUUCUAAACAAAACCUAUCUAAAUCCUUGAAAAAUCUUAAGUAAAUUCUAAAAAGUUUUAAAUAAAACCUAAUUUAAUUCUGACCAAAUUCUUAAUAAUUUUGAACUAAAGCUUCAAUAGCCUCAAGCAAGCAUACAUUAAUUUAAUAUUAAAUCAAAAUUAUUAUAACUUUAUAAUUUAAUUUAAGAAUUACUUUAAAUUUUACAUUAUCUUCAAACUCUUAAUAAAUAAAUUAAUAAGAAAUUCUUAAAAAAUUAUACCUACAAUUUUUUUUUAAAUUAAAAUAUCUUUAAUCAUAAUAAUAAUUUCUUAUUCUUAAUAUUUUUUUCUUGAAUUUUUUAAUUUACUUCCAAAACUUGCAUAUACAUAUUGAUAUUUACAUUGGCUUCUAAUCUACCAAAUUUCACCUCAUUCUAACUAGUAAUUCAUUGCAAAUCUUAUAAAUUCUUAUUAGCCUUUAAAUUUCUAAUUUUUGAUACCAUAAUCUAUUUAAAUUCCAGUAUAUUUUAAUUUAUUCAUAUAAAUGAGCUUAAAAUAAUAACACACAUUUAACACAAUUAUAUUUAUAAAUCUAAAAACUUCAAUUUGUAAAUAUUUUAUAAAAUUCACAAAAUUUAUUAAAAUUUGAAUUCUAUUUAAUUUCUAAAUAGUAGAGUUACUCAAAUCUAACUAUUAAGUUUUAAAGCUCUAGCAAAGUCAUUAAAUAUAAGUAUUUCUUAAAAUCAACUGUUAUAGAAUUUUUCUUAAAUCAAUUCUUUGAAUAUAUUUGUAAUUGGCAUUUUACUUAUCCUCCAAAUACCUUCCCAAAAUAAACUUGUAAAAGAGAGUUCAAACAGAGGAAAAGACUAUCUACAUUUACACAUUAAGAUCACAAUUUCGUAUCUUCUGAUCUGCUAAAAACACCGAAGAAUACUACAAUGCCUUCCACAUUCUAUCAAUUUCUCUUCUAAGAAAUUAAAUAUUGUAAUUGAUAAUUCUAUCUUAUGCAUUCACUGUCUUUUUUCCUCUCCAAACUUAUAACAAUAAUAUGUAAUACUAUGCUAUCUUAAAAGACUGCAUAAAAUAUUCUAUAAUCUAAUCAUUGGAAUUCUCCAAAACUAAUUGUUAUUUCCAAUAAUCUACUUCAUACAAUUCCAGACUCUAUAGACUUCUUUUUGUAGAACACUUUCAACUCUCAAUAAUAAAUGUAUUAUAAUUCUUCCAUUCAUAUCCAUACUUCACAAACAUCUUCAAUUAUUGACUUUCUAAUUCUCCACUUAUAAUUUAGGACAGAAGAAAUUCAAUUUUUCAUUUGACAUCAUAUAAAUCAAAUCUUUCCUUCAUUACAAAAUUUUACUUCAUAUUAUUUAAUAUCUAUCCAUUAUCCUUCUUCUAUAAAAAAAAAAAAAAAAAAAAAAAAAAAAAUAGCACCAAGCUUACUCAAAUUCAUGACUAUCACAAUUUGGCCUUUUUUACUUCUUCUUCAACUGAUUUAUACUUACCCCAAAACAAAGGUUUCAAUCAACAUUUCUUAUUUAACUAUUUUUUUUAAUUAAAUCAUCUAUCCUAUCUCUUGGAUUGAUUCAUCUAUGGAUGAUUAAUUAAUUUUACCAAUAUCUAACUAAUAUCUUAUAAAAAUCAAUUUCUAUCUAUUCUACAUAGCUUCGCUUUUAAUUGUGCAGCAUCCUUGCAAACACUGAACUGAUAAAAAAAACUUCUUUAAAGAAUCCUUACAAAGUUUCUAUCCCUCUAGCUUACUAAAUUAAUCAAUUCUAAUAUUCUCUAUAGGUGGUUAUACUGAUUUUGGUUCUAAUGAUAAAUCUUCAUUCUCCUUCAAUAUUUCCAUUGGCUCUCUCUUCAAUUGGGUUGAUAAGUCUUUAUUAUAUGCUCUCAAUUCACGAACUUGAGCCUCCAAUUGUAGAAUCUUGGCAUCUUUUGCUUCCAAAUGGUGCUGCUAUUACCUCAUCUUCUCUUCCAAUUCAUUAAUUAUUGAAACUGGUAGGGCAAAUAUCUGUGACUGACCAAUACUGGCUAAAUCACCCUCUAAUUUUGUUACUACAACUUUUAAGGUUCCAAUUUCUACCCAUAACUUUUUUGUUUCAAUUCUAUACUAGUGAUUCAAUUUUUUAUUUUCUUGUUCUAGUAAUGCUACCUUCUCUCGUUUUACUUUCAAUUGACACUUCAUCUCUUUUCGUUCCAAAUCUCAUGUCCUACAAUUCUGUAAUAAUUCCUACUUUUAGCCUUUUAGAAGAUUUUGAGUGUAUUUUUUUUUUUUUUUUAUUUUAUUUUUUGAUUGCCUAAGCUUCAUAUUUUUUUCCAAAUAUAUGUUCUAAUAGUAACUUGGAUUCCUUAUUUUUUUGAAUAAUUUGAUUUUGUUCCUUAAUUUGGCACCUUUGUUCUAAUAUUUUUUUUUAACUCGCGUCCAAUUGCUACCUUAAAUUUUUUCUCUCCAUCCAAUUUAUUCACCAUGAGUUGUAAUUGAAAAAUCUGAGCCAAUAUAACAUCUUUAAAAUUUAUUCCUUUCGAUAUUCUACCCUAUAGAAAUGCUAACUGAUUGAUGUUUAUCAAAAUUAGAACUUCAAUCUCUCGUUGAUCUUCGAACAAAUUAGAACUUGCCUUGAUAUAAUCAUUGGUAUAGCCUCCUGUUCCAACAAAUUAUUUAAUUCUCCAAUUUCGUACACCACUGCCUCUAGACUAGCUGUUAGUGUUGUGAAACUUUGAACACAUCAUUGAGGCAUUAGAGAGGGUAUAUUUUUCUUCUUUAUUAGUAAUAUUUAAUUCAAUAUAUAUACAAUCAUGGAGUGCACAUAAUUAGAGUAGAGCAAAGAUGUAAAUUUCUCUGUCUUCUACUUAGCUCCCUUCUCCACAUUGAUUCUAGUUGCUACAAAAUCUGCCCAAUUAAACAUCAUACCUUCAAGUAUUCCUAUUUUAGCAAAUAACAACUAUUUAAAUAUGUACAUGGUGUAUUGAUUUAAGCCUAACUCCUUCUAAAUGAAACACAUCCAUUCUAUAAGCUCUGGUGUAAGUACUUCCACCAUUUUCCAACCUUGACUCUUCUCAAAUGACAACAUUCUACUUUUGAAAUAGCUUCCCAGUUUGAAAUCAUUAGACACUUCAAUAUCCACCGCAAGCUCAUCAAUUAAGAGGUGCAAUAUCUUUUAUAAGGUAGACUCAUUAAUUCCAAUAAUACUUCCUUUGACAACACUCAAACCAUCUUUUGGAUCUUAAUUUGUUAUAUACUCCUCUAUCAAUUCUAUAUAAAUUGAUGGCAAGUUAUCUGAUCCUCGUAAAAAUUGAUAUAAUUGUGCAUUUCUAAAAUCUCUUUGCCUUUGUAUAAACCAACAAAUUUUCAACUUCAUUGGCUCCAUAUUGGUAAGAACCACUAGGAUUGGUGACCCCAAAUUACUCUUAACUCUCAUAUUUGUGCAACUUUUCUCUUUGUCUAUAGCUCUCUUAACUCUCAUAUUUGUGCAACUUUUCUCUUUGUCUAUAGCUCUCUUAACUCUUUCCAUCAAUAUUAUUAAAUACUUGUUUCUCAUUCUUUGUUUGUACUAAUACUACUUUCUUGCUUAUUAAAGUAAAUCCUAUACUCCAAUACUUAUAUUCCAAACAAACAUAUUAAAAAUACUGAAGAAAACUACCAUUAAAUGUCUUGCUCUUACUCUUUUAUUCGAGGUCUGAAUCAACAAUUUCUAAUCUAGUUUAUGCUAACCUCACUUCUGAUUUUCUUGAAUAAUCGGUAUUAGGAUCCAAAAUCAACCAUUAGCCAUCUUUAGUCUCUAUUAUAUACCAAUGAUUAUAGGUAAUCUAUCAUUAACAUGUAAGCCUUCUUCUUUCUAAUUUUUGAAAUCCAUCUUAGAUUUAUGUAUAAUAAAGUUGUAAUCAAUUUUUGUUCAUACAUGUGAUAAAUUGGAUACCCAUAAAAUCUUCUAAUUAAACUAAACUAUUAAAAAAACCUUCCAUUAUAUAAUACAGUCUAUGCGAGUACACUUGAAAUUUCCUCAAAAAAUUAUGAAAUUGACUCUCAUAAAGAAACACAAGAUCAUUGGAUACAAAAGAUUUGGGAUGUAAUUUAUUAUCAUAAUAACUCUUGUGGUGAUGUUGUCUAGCUUCCAUAAAAAAGAAUUAGUAGUCACUUUAUAUGUAGUACGAUAUGGCCACAUAGCUGCAAACAAUUUCGUAUCUCAAUCUGAUUCUACAUUAGACACGAUCUUAGUUAAAACUUUGCACAGAAUACCAUUGGUCUUUUCACUCUAUCCAUUGGCCCAAGGUUGAUAUAGGAUUAUUUUUUGAUGUUUGAUCUCAUAUUUAUCCAUUAAGGUUGGAAUCAUAGAAUUAAUAAAAUGAUUUUUUUAAUCACUAAUCAAUUCUUUGGAAUAUAAAAACUAAGUGAUAAUAUUCUCAUAUAAAAAUGAGGCUACUAUAUUGAUAGUAUCAGUUUUUGUUGCCACCGCCUUAAUCCAUUUUAUUACAUAAUUCGUUGCUACCAAAAUAUAUUUUUUUUGUCCAUUUUGUGAUGCUAGUGCAAUUAGUCCUACAAAAUCAAUAUCCCAUUUUUUAAAUGGUGUUUGUGCCAAAAUUGGUAUCAAUAGCAUGGCAGAAGUUCUAAUAGGUUGAUCAAUUUUUUGACAAAGAUCACAAUGUUAGAUAUAUUGGUUUGCAUCCAAAAAUAUUAUUGGCCAUCAAUAUUCAAUCAUUAAAGCUUUACGAGCAAUAUUAUCAUCGAUAAAAUAUCCACCACAAUUAUCCAAAUGGCAGCCUUCCAAUAUGAUAUGUACUUCACUUUGAAAGAUAUAACAAAGUUAAAUUCCAUCCCAUCUUUGCUUAUACAAGGCGUCAUUAAUCAUUAUAUAUGGCAUAUUUUUUAUAAUCAAGCAUUUCUUAAGUUUCUCACUAUAUGUAGGUAGAAAUGUUUAAAAUGUCAAAUACUAAAUCAAUUAUUUGGGUGUAAUCAUGUCGACCACAAAUAAUUCUACAUCAAAUAGGGCAUCAUUGAUAGGCUCAUUAUCUAGUAUAUUGGAUGAACGAGACAUAUAGUGUGCAUUGAUAUGUUUCUUUCUUGGUCUGACAUUGAUAGUAAAGAUAAAUUCUUAAAGUAGUAAUAUCCAUUGAGUAAUGCAUCCACUCAAUUAAGGUUAAUUAAUCAUAUAUUUAAGAAUAUUGUGAUCAAUAUGAAACAUGAAUGCAUAACCAAGUAAAUAAUGCUAAAAUUUUUGAAUAGAAUAAAUCAUUUCCAAAGCUUCCCAUUUGGUUGUAGUAUAAUUUUGUUCUGCUACAACCAAAUGUCAACUAACAUAAUAUAUUGGAUGAUCCAAACCCUUGUUAUCUUUUUAAUUUAACAUGGAUCGAAUAGCAAUAUUGGAUGCAUCAACAUAAAUAUGAAAUAGUUUCGUCCAACAAGGUACAACUAGUACUGGUGCAGACAACAAUUUUUAUUUCAAUUCUUCAAACGUAAUUGUACAUUUUUCAGUCCAAAUUAGACUAGAUCCAUUCAAUGGUGGUUUCUUUAAGAAAUUAGUUAAAAGGUGAUAUAUGGCUACAAAUGAAUGAAUAAAUCGUCAAUAAUAAUUGACAUGGUCGACAAAAUUACAAACAUCUAAUACCAUUUUUUGCUUUAAUAAAGCUAAUAUAUGAGUAAUUUUAUCCGAGUCAGUAAUAAUACCAACAAGUAAGAUGAUGUGUCUUAAUAAUUUAUCAGAUAGUACUCCAAAUUGGCAUUUCUUUGAAUUCAAAGAGAUCUUUAUAAUGGCCACAUUGAUCCAAAAACUUACUAAGAUAUUUCAAAUGAUCAAUCUUUGUACUAAAUGUAUAAAAAUCAUCUAAAAAUAUCUCCAUCAAAUGUCAUAAAUGAUCCUGAAAAGCUUACGUCAUUAUCCUUUGAAACAUGGUUGGGGCAUUACAUAAUCCAAAUGGCAUAACUUUAUAAACAAAGGUCUUCUAGUCUGUAGUAAAAGUAGUCUUUAACUAGUCUUCUUCUACAAUUUUAAUUUGAUAGUAAUCCAAAAAUCCAUCUAAAAAGAAAUAACAUUCAUGCCAAGUUACCACAUCUAGGAUACUAUGUAUAAAAGAUAAAGGAAAAUAAUCUUUCUUAAUAGCCACUUUUAAUUUAUAAAAAUCUUGGCAAAUUUGGAUUUUUCCAUUCUUCUUUGGUAUCAUCACAAUUGGUAAAAUCCAUUUAUUAUAUGAGACUAGAUAAAUAAAACCCAUAUGAAGAAGUUUGUAUAAUUCCUCUUUCACCAAAAGAAAAUAUUUUGGAUUGAGUCAAUAUUGUCUUUGACAAAUUGGUGUAGGAUUCUCAUCCAAAAUAAUUUGACACUCACAAAUUUCAGUAAGAAUGAAAUAGCAUGACCAAAGUUUGUUGUAUCCUCUACAUAUACUAAAUAUUCUUUGGGUCUUCUACAUUGGUAUAACAUGUCUUACUUUUGCAUGUCGAUUGGGUCAUCAAGUACUAUAUGAAUACAUUCCACUCGAUUUACAAGAAAAUCUUGUGGGCCUAGAUUAUUAUUCUCUAUCUUAUUAUGCAGCUAGAUUUGCUGGCUUUAGUUAUUAAAAUUAAACGGAGGAUUGCAUUACUAAUAUGUAUGUCUCGACUACUUACAAUUUCUACAUACUAGAGCAUGUUCAUUACUAGCUCUUAAAUUAGGACAUUCACUAGCAUAAUGUCUUAAUUGCUUACAACGAUAACAUCAAAGUGGUCUUCUUUCAAUUCCAUCAAUAAUAUUGGCUGUUUCUAUUGGUAUAUAUUGAUGGGGCCUAUUCUAGGUUGGAUGGAUAAAUGAUCUCGACUGUCCAGUUGGUACUAUUGAAUCUGAAAUUGUUUUUUGAAUGGAUGGAUAUUGAGAAUUUUUUUGUUGAUUUUGCUCAAUACCUUGAGAAUUGGGUCCACAUUCUUGAUUAUAAAUAGAAUUUUGAAAAUUCAAAAAAUUCCUAUUUUGUUUAUUUGAACAAUUUCUACUCCAACCAAAUCUAUUUCUUGUCUGGACUUAAUUAACAUUCUACAAAGUUGGUUGAAUCAUGGUUUGAUUAGUGAACUAUUGUUACUUUUGUAAAUUCCAACAAUUGAUGGUCGCAUCCUUAUCUCUACAAAAUGUAUAUUGCACAAUCAUUUGGAGUGGUGAAAAUAUUUCAUUACCAAAUGGCCUUAUCAUUUACAAUUACUGCACCAAAUAUUGAGAUGCAUAUUAAUCGAUUUAUGCCUCUUCUCCUUAUCUUUUGCUAGAUUAACAACCAAUUUGUCUAUCUUUUUUGUCAAAGUUAACAACAAAGCCUCAUUUGGAUCCUUCGAUACUAUUUUAUUAAAUAAUACUUUCAUUGAUAUUGGUUUUUGAUAUAGGAAGUAUAGAGAAUACGAAACUAUUGUUGUUAGUGGUACAAUCUACAAUGAGAUAGCAUUAACUAUUUUUUUAUAGAUUAGUACUAAGAUUUGCAUCAUAAUCAAUCAUUCUUGGAUAAUUGUCCACUGCUUCAUUCCAAGCUCUCAUUUGAUAACGUCCUUGAGAUGGAAUCAUUGUGGCUCUUGUAAUUAGAAAUUGAUCAUAAUGAUAUUCUUUCCAUAUCUUAGCUCGCUCAAGUAUUGAUCUGGAUCUCUACCAGGCAAACCUCUAAAAGUACGUAAUGGAGCUAAGCUAGUUAUGCGAUUGUCCACUGCACCUAUUUGGACUGUAAUUAGAACUGUUGGAUCCCCCGCUGCCAUUGAAGAUGAUAAUGCUCCACUUAAUUCUUUAUUAAAAUAAAUACUUUCUUCUUUAAUUGUCUUUUCUAGACUUUCUAGCCUCUUUAAUUUGCUUUUAUUAUCCACAAAUAAUUUUAUUGAUUGAAUUGGAAGUGAAAUGAUGGAUUUUGAAUUACACUAAAUUAGUCCUUAUUGGCAAGCAAUUUAUGCUUUUUAAGCAAUCGAUCUUACUAGAAUUGGCUAUAUUGAUUAUUAAAAAAGUACCAAAUAGAGUAUCCAAUUUUUGUGUGCGUCUUUCAAUAUCAAUUAAUACGCUCAAGAGAUACGUUAAACUAUUGAUAGAUUUUUUUGCAAAUGCUCUUGAUAAUUUUUUUAAUGAUAUAUAUGUCUAAAAUAUUAAAGGUCUGUUAGGUUUUAGGUAUGCUUGGAUAUGCCCACAGGCAUACAACCAUGGUUUAAUCCAACUUUGUGGAUGCUUCUUUUUUAGAUUAUAUUCUUGCUUUUCUAGCAAAAAACUUCUUACUUGUGCUCUCUCUUGUCUUUCUUUUAAUUGGUGUGUUUUAUUUAGUGCAAUGUUCUCAUUCUUAUUAAACAUAAUCUUUUAUCAUAUAAUAUUGAAAUUGCUUUCUAUCUCCAAUCUAAUUAUAUUUUUGACUUCAAUUUUGAACCAGCAUCAAUUUUAUAACCUCUUUGUGAAACAUCCAAAACCACUCAUUUGGUAGUUAAUUCCUAACACUCAAUACUAUUAUUAAUUUUUGGCAAUGGCGCCAAAAUAUAAUUUUCAUUUUAUUUAUUCUUCAAAUACCUUCUUAAAAUAAACCUGUAAAGAAAAAUUCAAAUACAAGAAAAGACUAUUUGCAUGAGUUUACAUAUUAGGGUCACACAAUUAAUUGUCUUUUGAUCUCUUAAAAACAUCCAAAUAAGCUACAAUGCCUUCCACAUUCAAUCAAUUCUUCUUCUAAUAAAUUAAAUAUUACAAUUGAUAAUUCUAUCUUAUGCAUUCACUAUCUCUUCUUUUUUCUAAACUUAUUACAAUAAUAUGUAAUACUAUACUAUCUUAAAAGACUGCAUAAAAUAUUCUAUAAUCCAAUUAUUGGAAUUCUCCAAAAUUAACUGUCAUUUCCAAUAAUCUACUUCACACAAUUCCAGACUCCACAGACUUCUUCUUAUGGAACACUCUCAACUCUCGAUAAUAAAUGUAUUAUAAUUCUUCCAAUCAUAUCCAUACUUCACAAACAUCUUCAAUUAUUGACUUUCCAAUUCUCCACUUAUAAUUUAGUACACAAGAAAUUCAAUUUUUCAUUUGACAUCAUAUAAAUCAAAUCUUUUUUUUAUUACAAAAUUAUACUUCAUAUAAUAUCUAUCCAUUAUCUUUCUUCUACAUUAAAAAAAAAAAAAAAAAAAAAAGAGGUAGCAUCAAGCUUAUCCUAGCUCAUGACUAUUAUAGUCUGGCCCAUUCUACUUCUUCUUCAACUAAUUUAUACUUAUCCCGAAAUAAAAAUUCCAACCAAAAUUUCUUACUUAAUUGCUUAUCUCAACUAAAUUAUCCAUCCUACCUCUUAAAUUGAUUGCCCUAUGGAUGAUAAAAUAAUUUUAUCAAUAUCUAAUCAAUGUCUUAGAAAAAUCAAUUUCUACCCAUUCUAUAAUGCUUUUCAAUUAUACAAAGUGUGAGCACAAUUAAUAGCUUCAAUGGUUAGAAAUAAUUAAUUUUAUUAUUUUUAAUAUAUUUUUAUUAAUUUUAAUGUUAAUAUGAUUAACUUAUGGAUCUAUAUUAGUCUUUUAGUUAAUUAUGACUUAAAUUAUAGUUUUAGGUUAUUAAUUAGAUAGAUGUUUUUAAUUAUUAGAUUAAGUGAUUUUCAAAAACUCUAAAAUAGUAAGUUUAGAAGGUUUAUGAUUUCUUUUUUUUAUCUGAUUUAUAUCCUCUUUUAUUACUAAAAUUAGAAAUUUAGUAGAAUUUUUCUUUUAACUUUUAGAAAUUAUAUCUUGAAUUAAUCUACAAUCUUAGUUUUCAACUCCAAGGCUAAUUCCAAAUUUGACUAUGGUUAAAAAAUUCUUUAAGUCUAAUUGCUCUAUCUUCCAAUUUAAUUUUUAAGAUUUUUUUAAGGUUAAAUUUUAUGCCAAAAUUUAAAUGGAUUAAAAAUAUAAAGUCUAAUUGUUAAAAUAAUGAUGAUUUCUAGAAGAUGGAGGUGAGCUAAUUUUUGUUGUGGAAUACUUCUCUUAGUGAUAUGAAUCACUCUUUGGAGUUGAAAAUUAGAGAAAAAGAAAAAGAUUACAAGUAUAUUAAUUCAAGUUUAAAUUGUAAUUGGGUCUCGGAUUUACUAAGAAUUAAUGUUUAAGGGAGCUUAAAUUAAAAAAUGGUGAUCAUGAUGGCUUGAUGGCAAGUACCCUUACUGAUCUCUAAGUAGAUUGGAUAAAAUUAGAAUUAUAACUUAUAACUAAAUUAAAAAAUUAAUUAAUUUAUUAAGACUAAUUUAUAACUAAAUUAAUAAAUUAAUUAGUUUUUAUGAUUUAGAACUUGGAUUUGGACUUAUGAAUAGUCAAAAUUAGAAUAAAAAUAUGUUUUAGAAAUAUGAAUGGUGUUAGUUUUAUCAAAAAGGUGUUAGUUUUUGAGUUAUAGGUAUUUCCAGCCUUAUAAUCGGAUUUAGGCUUAGAGUGAUUGUGGAUCCUUGAUCUUGGUUAGGAAUUUUUUGAUUUGGAUGGUGGAGAUGUAGCUGCUACCUUUGGGCCUCCUCCCACCUGAUUAAGAGGGCUUAGGUGGCUGAACUCCCUCUCUCUCUUCCUCCUUUUGUAAGGCAAGGCCUUGCCAAAUUGUUUCUAGGCUUUUAAUUGAAGAAAAUUUUCUUCUACCUUGUCACUAUCCUCGUAUUUUUUUCUCUCAGUCACCCAAUUUUUUAUGCUUUAGAGCAAUAUUUGGUGCAUAUAUUAUUCUAAUUAUCAGCUUUUCAACAACAUAAGCCACAAGUAAUUUAAAGCUCAGAUGGAUUUUUGGCAAAUUUCCAAGUGGCAGGGGGUCUAUUGCCCUUAGUAGCAUAGGAGCGUCAACUUCAAAAUUUUUUAACUUGGUGACUUCUAACUCAACUUUAAUGUGACUUUUUAUUAUAAGUGUAAUUUGAAGUCUAGUUUAUUAAAAGAUUUAAAUCACUAACUUUCAAGUUAUAACAAAUGUUUGAUGAUUUUUAGAGUAAGGACGGAUCUGCUACCUCUGUAGUUUAGAACAAUUAACUUCGAAAAAACGUAGCUUAUUACCUAAUUAUGUUUUGCUAUUGAGUCUUAUUUUGAAAAGAAGCUUCCUAAAUGUAGUUCUAAGAAAAAUUAGAGUUGUUAACUCUAAAUGAGUAACCAUCUUUUAGUGAAUUUAUAAGUAGAAGGGAUGUAUGGCCAAGGCAGCCCAAGUGGCUAUACUUGGAAAAACCAUAUCUCAAGCUUUUCAAAUCGGAUUGCCAUGAGAUUUAAGAAAGUAGAAGCAUGCUAAAUUUAACCUUGAUUAUACCAAAUUUUACAUGCAUUGAAGUCUCAAGGAAUUUUUGGUGAAUUUUUAAGUAGAAAGGGUGUCUACCUAUAAUUUGACAUCUCAAGGUAUGAUAUUAAUUCCUCUCUAAUCAUUCUCUAAUCACAUUCUUUAGCACCUAAUCUACUAUAUUAGCUCUCACUUGCCUUAUUAUCCUUAAUUAAUAUUAUUUAAUAAUUUUAAAGAAUUUUUCACUCAUUUCAAUAAUUAAUGAUAAAGUUUUAUUUUUUCAUCCAUCUUUAUCUUUAAAAGAUAAAAGAAAAAAUUAACAUCAUCUUUCCAUUUUCACCUUUUACUUUUAAUAUUAGUUUAUAAUUUAUAAUUUUUACCUUUAAUUUUUUUUACUCUGGUUAUUUUUAAACAUUUCAUUCAACUUUUAGUUAUUAAUUCUAACUUCUUUUAUUUUAUUUUUAUCUUUACUUAUAAUUUUCAGAGUUUAAACUUGAUUACAUAAAACUUCGAAGGCAAUUAACUAAUUUGAUUAUAAUGUAAAAGAAAUCAUAAAAAAUUAUAUACUUAACUUUUUGUAUUUGAUUAAAUUAAUUGUGAUUGUUAUCUCAUUUAUUUAUUUUUAUUUAUUUAUUUUUAUUUAGUUAUUUAAUUCUUUUAUAUAUUUAUGAUUUAAAUGCCUACCUAGGUUAAUAUUGAAUCUUAAUCUAAGUCACAAUUAAAUCAUAUUGAAUUUAAGUGAGGGAAGAAAAAACCGCUCACACAAAGAACCUUGCACUACUUAAAGACAAGCACUUUUGUGCUCUUGAAUUUGAAUUCGAACUUAGUUCAUAAUUUCUCCUCUCUAAAUAUCUACCUAAGGUUUUUUUAGGUAAUUUAUGCUAAAAGAUGUUAUUUUUAUUUUCUCCUAAAGAUGUAUGUAAUAUAAGUCUUGCCAAUCUAUAUUGAUUUUUUUUGUUCAUGGUAUUUUGAAGUAGAUAAAAAAAUAAUUAAUUAAAAAAUAAAAAUAUUUAAAUUUCUACAACCGUUUUAUAUUUUAUUUAUAAUUUCUAAUAGAUUUUUUUGAUAAUUCUUCAAUUAAGCUCUUUUAUAAUUUAUGUCUCAUAUUAUAUAGUUGAUAAAAAAAAGAAUUUCAUAAUUUAUUGUAUAAAAUUUUUAUUAUUAUUUACAAUCUUAUACCUUAAUGAUUUAUUUUUUGUCUUAAAAUUUAAUGAAUAAAAUUAUAAAUUAUAUAUUUUAUAAAACUUAAUAUAAUAUAGAAGAAAUAUUUUAUUAUAAUAUUUUAUUACAAAAAUAAUUUUAAAUUAAAAAUAUAGAUAAUUAAGAUAAUUUUUAAUUAUCUUAAUUUUAUAUAAAACAUUUAUGAAUAUAUUUAUGCAUCAAUUUUUUUAAGAAAAUAUAUAUAUUUAAUUUAUAAUCUUUACAUGCAACACACAAUUAUUAUAAUGAAUGAUUAGUACUACUUAAGUAAAUAAAAAUAAAAAAAAGUAUGUAAAAAUAUGUUAGAUAGAUAAUGUCUUUUUUGCAUAACUUUGAAAAAAAAAUUAGACACAAAUUAAAAUUUUAAAUUUCAAAAUAUUUGCCACAUAGACAUUGAAACUUACCUCUUUUUUCCUUGAGACAAGAGAAAAGAAAAAAAAAUUAUUGCAUUUAUUAAGUCAUUUGAAGUGGUAGUUAUAAGAUUUAUAGGAAUCUUUUCAUAGAUGAUACUCUUAUCUAUUUUUUUGUUUAAGGAUUUAAUAUUGAAAAUACUAUUAAGCAGAUCUUAAAAAAACAAUCAAAAAACCUAGAGUAUGCAAAAAAGAUAGCAAAGAUAAUUUUAAAAAUUACCAAAUUAUAAAAAUAAUUUAGAUGAAGGAAAACCAUAGAAUUCCUAAUUUUAUUUCAAUCAAAAGUCAAAAUGUAGAAAGCUCUUAAGAACAACUAUAUGAAUUUGUUAGCAAUCAUUUUCAAUCUAUGGAAUAUUAUUCUUUAUCUUUAAAAGUUAAUUUACCACUUAGCCUCUCAAAAAUUAUUUAUCUAGAGGAUAUGAAUAAAUAGAAGGAAGAAAUAAAAAAUUAAGUCUUAUAGAGCCAUAAGGGAUUCUAGUAUAAACUUGCAUAUAAAAUUAAAAUAAUGUAAGAAAAAAUGACCUUAUUGAUAAAAAAAUUCAACCAACUUCUAUUACUUAUAGAAUUAAGUAGACAUACUUUAGAGUUAUGAUAUGCUUAAGGUAGCCAAUCGGAUUAUAUUAGGCGGUUUUGUAUUGUAUCAGAAAAGCAAAAGCAAAACAUUCAAAGGCAACAACUAUCUAUUCUUUUAUAUAGAAAUUAAGUCAAUUUAGAAUCUACCUUUCUCCAACAAUGCUAUAAGUAUUUGAGCUAGGGUUUUAAAAACAAAUUAAAACUAAGACAAGAAGUACACCACAUUUGUGGUAAGAAAUUGAAUGAUAUAUAGAAAUUGGAGAAUUAAUUAUUCUAUAAAGAUUUAUAAGCAAUCUAAUAAGAUGGUUCUUGAAACUUUUUAUAAAGAAAUUAUCAAAAUUUCUACAAUAAUAUAAAAAGAACAAGAAGUUCAAGUUCUAAUAACAUAUUGAAACCACCUAACAUCUUCUAUGACUACAAUAACAAUGGUCAAAAUCAACACUCUUUAUUAGAUUUAAAUACUAAAAAAAUAUAUAUUCUUUAAAACUCAAAAUAAAAUCAAUAUGUUUAAGAAAAUAAUGAAUAAGAUUUAGAAGAUGUGAGGUAUUUAGAAAUGUCUAUCAAAGAACUAAAUCAACUUAUAGAGAAUCCACCUUCAUCUUUUUAUUUUAAUUAUAUCUUUCAUGAAGAAUCCUCUUAUAAAAAAAAGGAUCAUUCUAAUAUGUUAGUUGUAGUAAUUAUGAUUACAUCCAAGUAUAUUAAUCCUAUCCCUUCUACCUCAAUAAAGAGUAAGAGUACUUCUGAAAAUUCUCUCUAUUUAUGAAAUUUCAAUGAAGCUACUAAAGAGG
rnacentral:lncRNA from 1 species